AAUAUAAUUAAUCUUGUUAUAAUUGAAUUAGCUUAAUUUUUGGUUUUAUAUGUUAAAUUUUUUGUGAUUUAUUUAUUGUCUUAAUGGCUUUAUCUAUUUAUUAAUUGCAGUUUUUAAUUUUAUUUAUUUAAUUUUAGUUAGAUUUAGCUUAAUUUUUAUUGAACUAUACAAAGUUGUGCCAGCAUAUGCGGUUAUACAUCUAGUUCUUGUUAAUUUUAUUGAUUUUUAUUAUUUAGUUUGUUUAAGAAUUAUAUAUAUUUUAUUAGGUGAAAUUUUUAAUUUUUUUAAUUCUUUGGUUUUAUAUUAUAAGAAAGUUUAUUUAUAAACUAGGAUUAGAUACCCUAUUAUUGUUUACUGUAAUUUUUAAUCUUGGGAUUAUUAGUUAAGUUCUUUAAAUUAAAAAGUUUUGGCGGUGAUUUAAUCUUUUCAGAGGAACCUGUUCUUUAAUUGAUAAUCCACGUUAUUAUUGUCUUUAAUUUUAGUUUGUAUACCUCUGUUAAUUUUGAUGAAUGUUUUAUUAGAAUAUUUUCUUUUAAUAUUUAUUUAUUUUAUAUCAAGUCAAGGUGCAGUUAUAUUGGAGGUUGAAAUGGGUUACAUUUAAUGUUAUUAAUAGGAUUAAAGUUUAAUUUAUUUUUUUAUGAAUUAGGAUUUGAUUGUAAGUGUAAAUAAUUUUUUAUACUGAUUUUUGGCUCUAGAUUAUGUACAUAUCGCCCGUCACUCUCAUCUAUAUAAAGUGAGAUAAGUCGUAACAAAGUAAUUCUAUCGGAAGUUGGGGUUUGAUUAUU
rnacentral:ncRNA from 1 species